rnacentral:rRNA from 1 species
ACGAACGCUGGCGGCACGCUUAACACAUGCAAGUCGAACGAGAGAAGAGGAGCUUGCUUUUCUGAUCUAGUGGCGGACGGGUGAGUAACACGUGAGCAAUCUGCCUUUCAGAGGGGGAUACCGAUUGGAAACGAUCGUUAAUACCGCAUAACAUAAUUGAACCGCAUGAUUUGAUUAUCAAAGAUUUAUCGCUGAAAGAUGAGCUCGCGUCUGAUUAGCUAGUUGGUAAGGUAACGGCUUACCAAGGCGACGAUCAGUAGCCGGACUGAGAGGUUGAUCGGCCACAUUGGGACUGAGACACGGCCCAGACUCCUACGGGAGGCAGCAGUGGGGAAUAUUGCACAAUGGAGGAAACUCUGAUGCAGCGAUGCCGCGUGAGGGAAGAAGGUUUUAGGAUUGUAAACCUCUGUCUUCAGGGACGAAAAAAGACGGUACCUGAGGAGGAAGCUCCGGCUAACUACGUGCCAGCAGCCGCGGUAAUACGUAGGGAGCGAGCGUUGUCCGGAAUUACUGGGUGUAAAGGGAGCGUAGGCGGGAUCGCAAGUCAGAUGUGAAAACUAUGGGCUUAACCCAUAAACUGCAUUUGAAACUGUGGUUCUUGAGUGAAGUAGAGGUAAGCGGAAUUCCUAGUGUAGCGGUGAAAUGCGUAGAUAUUAGGAGGAACAUCAGUGGCGAAGGCGGCUUACUGGGCUUUAACUGACGCUGAGGCUCGAAAGCGUGGGGAGCAAACAGGAUUAGAUACCCUGGUAGUCCACGCCGUAAACGAUGAUUACUAGGUGUGGGGGGACUGACCCCUUCCGUGCCGCAGCAAACGCAAUAAGUAAUCCACCUGGGGAGUACGACCGCAAGGUUGAAACUCAAAGGAAUUGACGGGGGCCCGCACAAGCAGUGGAGUAUGUGGAUUAAUUCGAAGCAACGCGAAGAACCUUACCAGGUCUUGACAUCGUAUGCAUAGCUCAGAGAUGAGUGAAAUCUCUUCGGAGACAUAUAGACAGGUGGUGCAUGGUUGUCGUCAGCUCGUGUCGUGAGAUGUUGGGUUAAGUCCCGCAACGAGCGCAACCCUUACUGUUAGUUGCUACGCAAGAGCACUCUAGCAGGACUGCCGUUGACAAAACGGAGGAAGGUGGGGAUGACGUCAAAUCAUCAUGCCCCUUAUGACCUGGGCCUCACACGUACUACAAUGGCUGUCAACAGAGGGAAGCAAAGCCGCGAGGUGGAGCAAACCCCUAAAAGCAGUCUUAGUUCGGAUUGUAGGCUGCAACCCGCCUACAUGAAGUCGGAAUUGCUAGUAAUCGCAGAUCAGCAUGCUGCGGUGAAUACGUUCCCGGGCCUUGUACACACCGCCCGUCACGCCAUGGGAGUCGGUAACACCCGAAGCCUGUGGUCUAACCGCAAGGAGGACGCAGUCGAAGGUGGGAUUGAUGACUGGGGUG